UAGACCCUAAUAGGAGGCUCAAAUAAUACAGUAUAUGUAUAACAACAUUUCAGCCAGGGAGGAAGAAGAGAACCUGACUACUGAGCCAGAAGGGAAAACUGCUACACACCGCCCUGGUUAUUAGGCGCAGAGAAGACAUCUUUGCCAUCCUCAUGGUUGCCACCUGCAGCCCUAUCUGACAUCUGCUGCUACAGACCACUGUGGAUGCUGAAUUCUGGAGCUGUCUUCCCUUGCUGCCUCCUCUUUAGCUGUACUUCUAGAUUUCCUGAACAACUCAGAGAGAUCACCUAAGGACACAGAGCCUCAUAAGUCAAAGGCUUUCAGGCAGACAGGCGCAAGAUGAGGAACUUUUGAUCAGAAACUGGUCAGACAUUCCCAGAGUGGUUGAGAGCCUGUCAAGGUCACUGCCAAGGACAAGAGAGUCAAUUAGUAUGCAGAUCAGAGGCAAGGAGUU